CAUUUAAAGAGUGCGUAAUAGCUCACUAGUCGAGUGACACUGCGCCGAAAAUGUACCGGGGCUAAACAUAUUACCGAAGCUGUGGAUUGUCCUUUGGACAAUGGUAGGAGAGCGUUCUAAGGGCGUUGAAGCAUGAUCGUAAGGACAUGUGGAGCGCUUAGAAGUGAGAAUGCCGGUGUGAGUAGCGAAAGACGGGUGAGAAUCCCGUCCACCGAUUGACUAAGGUUUCCAGAGGAAGGCUCGUCCGCUCUGGGUUAGUCGGGUCCUAAGCUGAGGCCGACAGGCGUAGGCGAUGGAUAACAGGUUGAUAUUCCUGUACCACCUAUAAUCGUUUUAAUCGAUGGGGGGACGCAGUAGGAUAGGCGAAGCGUGCGAUUGGAUUGCACGUCUAAGCAGUAAGGCUGAGUAUUAGGCAAAUCCGGUACUCGUUAAGGCUGAGCUGUGAUGGGGAGAAGACAUUGAGUCUUCGAGUCGUUGAUUUCACACUGCCGAGAAAAGCCUCUAGAUAGAAAAUAGGUGCCCGUACCGCAAACCGACACAGGUAGUCAAGAUGAGAAUUCUAAGGUGAGCGAGCGAACUCUCGUUAAGGAACUCGGCAAAAUGACCCCGUAACUUCGGGAGAAGGGGUGCUCUUUAGGGUUAACGCCCAGAAGAGCCGCAGUGAAUAGGCCCAAGCGACUGUUUAUCAAAAACACAGGUCUCUGCUAAACCGUAAGGUGAUGUAUAGGGGCUGACGCCUGCCCGGUGCUGGAAGGUUAAGAGGAGUGGUUAGCUUCUGCGAAGCUACGAAUCGAAGCCCCAGUAAACGGCGGCCGUAACUAUAACGGUCCUAAGGUAGCGAAAUUCCUUGUCGGGUAAGUUCCGACCCGCACGAAAGGCGUAACGAUUUGGGCACUGUCUCAACGAGAGACUCGGUGAAAUCAUAGUACCUGUGAAGAUGCAGGUUACCCGCGACAGGACGGAAAGACCCCGUGGAGCUUUACUGUAGCCUGAUAUUGAAAUUCGGCACAGCUUGUACAGGAUAGGUAGGAGCCUUUGAAACGUGAGCGCUAGCUUACGUGGAGGCGCUGGUGGGAUACUACCCUAGCUGUGUUGGCUUUCUAACCCGCACCACUUAUCGUGGUGGGAGACAGUGUCAGGCGGGCAGUUUGACUGGGGCGGUCGCCUCCUAAAAGGUAACGGAGGCGCUCAAAGGUUCCCUCAGAAUGGUUGGAAAUCAUUCAUAGAGUGUAAAGGCAUAAGGGAGCUUGACUGCGAGACCUACAAGUCGAGCAGGGUCGAAAGACGGACUUAGUGAUCCGGUGGUUCCGCAUGGAAGGGCCAUCGCUCAACGGAUAAAAGCUACCCCGGGGAUAACAGGCUUAUCUCCCCCAAGAGUUCACAUCGACGGGGAGGUUUGGCACCUCGAUGUCGGCUCAUCGCAUCCUGGGGCUGUAGUCGGUCCCAAGGGUUGGGCUGUUCGCCCAUUAAAGCGGUACGCGAGCUGGGUUCAGAACGUCGUGAGACAGUUCGGUCCCUAUCCGUCGUGGGCGUAGGAAAUUUGAGAGGAGCUGUCCUUAGUACGAGAGGACCGGGAUGGACAUACCUCUGGUGUACCAGUUGUCGUGCCAACGGCAUAGCUGGGUAGCUAUGUGUGGACGGGAUAAGUGCUGAAAGCAUCUAAGCAUGAAGCCCCCCUCAAGAUGAGAUUUCCCAACUUCGGUUAUAAGAUCCCUCAAAGAUGAUGAGGUUAAUAGGUUCGAGGUGGAAGCAUGGUGACAUGUGGAGCUGACGAAUACUAAUCGAUCGAAGACUUAAUCAA
rnacentral:rRNA from 1 species